GACGAACGCUGGCGGCGUGCUUAACACAUGCAAGUCGAACGAAGUGGCGAACGGGUGAGUAACGCGUAAUCAACCUGCCCUUCAGAGGGGGACAACAGUUGGAAACGACUGCUAAUACCGCAUACUGAAGGAGGGGAUUGCGUCUGAUUAGCUAGUUGGAGGGGUAACGCCCCACCAAGGCGAUGAUCAGUAGCCGGUCUGAGGGGAUGAGUGGCCAGAUUGGGACUGAGACACGGCCCAGACGCCUACGGGAGGCAGCAGUGGGGAAUCUUCCGCAAUGGACGAAAGUCUGACGGAGCAACGCCGCGUGCGUGAUGACGGCCUUCGGGUGGUAAAGCUCUGUUAAUCGGGACGCGGUACCGGAAUAGAAAGCCACGGCUAACUACGUGCCAGCAGCCGCGGUAAUUC
rnacentral:rRNA from 1 species